CGGGAUGUAGCUCAGCCUGGUAGAGCACCGCGUUUGGGACGCGGGGGUCGUCGGUUCGAAUCCGGCCAUCCCGA
rnacentral:tRNA from 3 species